AAAGUAGGCUAGAGAUUCCAAACUCUCGGGGUGGAAGUGAGGAUGGGAAAGGGGCCUCUGGUUCAUUACGAGAGAAAAGGUUAGAGCUUCUUCUGUCAGAGUGGUCUAUGCGUUAAAGGCACUGAAGGCGAAAACUUAAAAUGUGUUGCAAGUGAGGAGAAGUCUGAAGAAAGGGAAAUCUCGGAAGAGGGGGUUCACUGUUACACUGUUACCUUGCUGUGCAAUUUCUAAAGGAAUAGCGAAGAUUUGAGCAUGGAGAUGUCAGCGGAGUGACCACAGAACCAAUCUGCUUGCCGGGACACCAGUGGAGAACAUGCUCUGUAACAAGCCAAGCAACCAUGCACCAGUGUGGAGAGACAACAGAAUCAGAACACAUCCGGGGGCAACAGAGGGAUGCUGGGAGACAGAAGAAAAUGGAAGUUCAACCUGAGAGACUAAACAAAAAUCAGGCAUGGGAUCUGCAUGGGUGGUUAAAAGUGACACAAAAUAUUCCUACAUGAAAAUUUCAAGGAAAGUUUACAAGUUAAAAUUUUCU